rnacentral:rRNA from 1 species
GACGAACCGUGCGAACGUUGUUCGGAAUCACUGGGCUUAAAGGGCGCGUAGGCGGGCUCGCAAGUCUGGGGUGAAAUCCCGCGGCUCAACCGUGGAACUGCCUCAGAUACUGACGGUCUCGAGGGAGGUAGGGGCAUGCGGAACUGUAGGUGGAGCGGUGAAAUGCGUUGAUAUCUACAGGAACUCCGGUGGCGAAAGCGGCGUGCUGGACCUCUUCUGACGCUGAGGCGCGAAAGCUAGGGGAGCAAACGGG